UUGUGAAUGAACAAAUUCGGCUGUUAGCUUCUCGGAGGAGAGGAGGGAUUUCGGCAUGUUUAUUGAAUAAACUGCUUACUGAUAGUGCGUUGGAUGUUGUGCAAGGAUGCUGUAGGGAUUGAAGUACAGUAUAUGGUUAUUGAGGAAGAAAAUGCACUUACUAGGAUACGUAUUGUUGAGAAAGAAUAAAGAGACAAAAAGUGUGAA